rnacentral:rRNA from 1 species
GAUCAUGGCUCAGGAUGAACGCUAGCUACAGGCUUAACACAUGCAAGUCGAGGGGCAGCAUGAACUUAGCUUGCUAAGUUUGAUGGCGACCGGCGCACGGGUGAGUAACACGUAUCCAACCUGCCGAUGACUCGGGGAUAGCCUUUCGAAAGAAAGAUUAAUACCCGAUGGCAUAGUUCUUCCGCAUGGUAGAACUAUUAAAGAAUUUCGGUCAUCGAUGGGGAUGCGUUCCAUUAGGUUGG